UACAACGGAAAUGACAUUAUGACAUGAUCUAAUAUAAUGCAGCGAUCACAUGUUGGACUUGGAUUGGAGCUGGAGGACUGUUGGAGAGAAGUAAAGAAGAAACACUCUAGUGGGAUUCAGCCAUGUUUUGCCCUUUUUGUGGGAUUCAGCUUGGCACAACGCCAUCGUUUUGCCGCAACUGUGGCAAAUCUCUGUGGUUCCUGUGUGAAGAAAAUCAAAUCGAGCCUUUCCUCCCUCGGUGAGCUAUGGGGCAAAUACAGCUCACAAUUCUGGAUGGAGCUGCUAGAAGAACUGAAGGAGUCAGGCCAUUUCAUUGGCUCCAAAAGGAUUUAAAUGAAUGCACAAUCUACUCUGGAACCAGCACAGAAUCAGACCUUCAAGAAUGUCGUCCUGUCCAUCAGAUAAUUAAUCCGGGAAUCUUCUACAGAGGUGUGCAUCUUACUACUGAUUUUAUUGUAUUUUAUAACUGCUCUUAUCUGUAAUGUGAUAUUUUGUAUUUUUUAUAUUUUGUAAUGUGGUACUUUGUAACAACUGUAAGUCACCCCGGAUAAGGGCGUCUGCUAAUAAAUAAAUAAUAAUAAUAAUCUUGGAAGUUCACUAUUUUCUUUUCCUCUUUGAAUUGCCACAGCAACUAAUGAAGAAAUCUUUUACUCCUGCGAACUCUGCUUGUGAACCUGUUGUUCAAACCAGGAGAUAAAGACUUUAGCAGCGCGACAAAUGCACCCUGCUUCUGGGUCUUGUUGCUCGUGGUUUGUGUAUGGUAGCAGACCUGAGGUGCAGGUAACUGUAGAAUCUUGCUAUAGCUCAUUAAUGCAAACCCAUGUAACCACAGGACCACUCAUCUUCUUGACAGUGGGAAGUAAAGCUAUAAAUUCUACCUGCUUUGAACUCGGCAUCCUAAAAAGAUGCUUUUGUUACCACUGAAAGAAAGACUGUACUGCUGGAGAUAUCACGCAGAGGAAGGACAACCCAGAGAUUUUAUAAGAACCCAUCAGCAAUUCUUCACAAAACUGUUAUUUCUUCAAAAACCAAAGGCUGGACCACAGAACCGUUAGCUGUGGGAUUGUUUUCCGUUCUUUUUCAUAAGACUACUUUAUUUCCUCAAUAUGGACUCUUGCACAACCCUCAAAGUUAUAAAGGAAGGUAACUGAUUUAUUGAACUCAUGGUGCAUAAGCUAGGACAAUAAUGUUGGAUUGAAUUAUCCAUGUUCUUUUGUAACAAAUGAUGUUGAUCACAUGUAUAAGGCAUGAAUUAACACUUCUCACAAUCCAAUGAAUUCAUGGGUCAGGAAGGUACAAUUGUAUUAUGUCCUGAUAAGACAGAUAAUAUAUAAAAUCUCUCUAUCUGGACACAAUGCAAUACAUGAGUACCUUCCUGACCCAUGCAUUAUGUAGUUAUUCAUAAAUGACAAAAUGGUGGUAAAAGUCAAUGCAAGAUCUCCCCUUUGUUCCAAAUUAAACCAGGUAUAAUGCAUUUUUUUUAUAACUAAGCAAUCAAAUCUACAGAAAGUAAAAAUAAAAUAAAAUAAUAAAAGUCAAAUGUUCACACUUGGCUUCAGUGUAAUCUCUGAUAGAAGAAUGUUACAAGACUCAUUUCUUUAGUUUCCAAAGCUUUAGCUUGCUUUGUGUUUCUUAUUACCAUAAUUACCGGUUACAAGGAGAAUACACUUUUGCAUUUGAUAACUCCACAUACUUACAUGAUCCAGUUUAAAGAAAAAAAUUCUGCAGAAAUCUCUUUUAAAAGCAAAACAUUAAUGCAUUGUUAAUUUACAAAUCAACUUGGAUGUUGAUCUCUUUCUGUUACUAUUCUGGGGUGGUUUCUGCCCGUGACACAGAGGGCACAGCCUGUCAAUCCAACUCCAUUUUCCUGUUUCAGACUGCCCACACCAUGUUGUUCUGGCCACCCCCUUUAUCAUUCUGACCCUCAAUCUCACCGGCAGAAACCACUCCAGAAAAAGUUUGAGACAAAGUAACUUCGACUUCUGAAUCAAAAGUUGAAGAAACUCCCUCUUUGGCCCUACAGCAUCAAUUCCAUCUUCAGUAUUGCUAGAGUCAUCCGUGAACUUCACUAGCAUAGUGUUUGUAGGGUCAUAAGAACUACACUUAAAACCACAUACAGCUCAGUCCCCGAUGUCUCUUCUGUUAAUGUUGAACUUUGAGAUUUUGGCUGAUUGUAUUUGCAUGGCUAAAUUCCCCAAAAUUUCUUAUUAAGACCAGCAGACUUACAAAGCUGAUAAUGAACUGAACAAAACAAACUAUUAAUGACUCAUAACUCAAAUUAAAGUUUAAGGCAAAAUUAAUAUUUACAGAAUAGCUUGGAAAGGCAGUGACAUUUAGCAGUUCUAAAAUUUAAAAUUUACCAGAAGCAGGACUACAUUAAACAUUUUGAAAGUACUGUCAUCUUCAAUUACAAUGGUGUAAAAACAUCAGUGUGGUUUCUGGAUGAUGCAAAAUACAACAUUAAAUAUAUGUAUUCAGAUAUUCAUAUCCUGACAAAUUGUAAAUAGUGAUAUUCUCAAAUUUUCGAAAUAAAGAUAAUGAACUAUGUGUUACAAGAGCAUGGCCCUGUCAUUACGAGUUACAGACAAAGGUUUUUGGUUGUUAUUUCAUAGAAAGGUUUCUUAAAUGUAUUACCUGUAACACUUGUGCUGUGCACUGUUGACAGAGGUACCAGCACUUUUGGAUACACCCAGGCUUGAUGUACUUGCAGAACACAGAUAUUUUUAUUUAUGUUUUGCAAGUGAAUAUCAUAUGUGAUAUAUAUAUGUUUUAGUUAUGUUUAAAUGUCUCAAAUCCUAUCUGAAGUUAAUUUGGCCUGAGUGAUACUGUUACAGCUGUAGAUGUACGUUACUAGCUGGCUUUCUUGUAGCUUGGUUAUGCUACCGUGUUAUGUGCCUGUGUCGUAAAAGGCUUGUUAUUAUGUUUUGCGGCAUUGCCGUUUGUGAAUAUGUGAGUGUAUGCAAGUGAGAUUAAAAACGUGAGACACACAUCGAAACACUAGUCUACUUCAUCUUAUUGAAACACAACAGAUACAUCAUACUAACAAUAAUAAAUGUUUAAUAAAUGGUCGCAGCAUUCAUAUGCACUUUUUUCGGGGGUGGGA